GGAGUUGUGGCUCAUGGUAGAGCACUCGCCUAGCAUGUGUGAGGCCCUAGGUUCGAUCCUCAGCACCA
rnacentral:tRNA from 1 species